rnacentral:misc_RNA from 1 species
AACUUUUGACAAUGGAUCUCUUGGCUCUCGCAUCGAUGAAGAACGCAGCGAAAUGCGAUACGUAAUGUGAAUUGCAGAAUUUAGUGAAUCAUCGAAUCUUUGAACGCACAUUGCGCCCUGUGGUAUUCCGCAGGGCAUGCCUGUUCGAGCGUCAUAACAACCACUCUAGCUCUGCUAGGACUUGGGCACCUGCCAGUUCAUUUUGGCAUGCCUUAAAAUCUCACAGUAGCGCCGUCAAAGCCUGAGCGUAGUAAACAUACCACCGCUAAAGGAUUGAUGGAUGUCCCACUGUCUAAGCCCUUUUUCUAGGUUGACCUCGGAUCAGGUAGGGAUACCCGCUGAACUUAAGCAUAUCAAUAAGCGGAGGCU